UACGAAGGGUGCAAACGUUGCUCGGAAUUAUUGGGCGUAAAGCGCACGUAGGCGGCAUAGCAAGUCGGAUGUGAAAUCCCUCGGCUCAACCAAGGAAGUGCAUCCGAAACUGCUGUGCUUGAGUACGAAAGAGGAUCGCGGAAUUCCUGGUGUAGCGGUGAAAUGCGCAGAUAUCAGGAGGAACACCGGUGGCGAAGGCGGAUCUCUGGGCCUUACCUGACGCUGAGGCGCGAAAGCUAGGGGAGCAAACAGG
rnacentral:rRNA from 1 species